CCGCUAUUUGGUGGAUAUCUUGGCUUGGGUACCGAUGAAGAGCGUGACAAGCUGCGAUAAGCUUGGGUUAGUCGCAUGUAGACGUCGACCCCAAGAUUCUCGAAUAGGACAUCCACUUGUGGACCAAUAAUCCACAAGAUUCCCAUAUCCGUAAGGUGAGGGAAAGGGAACCCUGAGAAGUAAAACAUUUUAGUAUCAGGAGGAAAAGAAAACAAUAGUGAUUCCGUGAGUAACGGCGAGCGAAAGCGGAACAGGUCAAACCGAAUCCGUUAGAGAAAUCUCUCGGAGAUGUGGUGUGUGGACCUCAUACGGCCUCCCUAAUGAACGUGAAAACCUCUGGAAAGUCGUGCCAUAGAGCGUGAAAGCCGCGUAACAGUAAAUUAGAAAGCCGAUUUGAGGUAUCCCGAGUAAUGCGGGAUAGUUUUCUCGUAUGAACGUGCCAAACACAUGUUGGCAAACCUAAAUAUACCCCAAGACCGAUAGCGUAAUAGUAGCGUGAGCGAAAGAUGAAAAGAAACCCGGAAGGGUCGUGAAAAGUGCUUGAAACCAAAUAGCUUAAUAAGGAUGCAGCCUGAAAGGAUAGAUUCUACGCGAAUGAGUUCUGGUGACAGAAUAUCAGAGCAUAGAGGACUAGGGUUGCAUCAUCAGUCUGGAAUCAUUGACCAGGGAGUUUGCAGUAGAGGCGAGCUUAAGCGCCGUACGGCGCGUAGGCACAGGGAAACCAAUAUUCUUGCAACCUAAUUAUCACAUUGGGAUGAUCUAUCCGAUAACGGAAUGGUUCUGCCACCCAAAAUCGUUUAGUGAGUCCCUCUAAGGGAUUAGGUCAGAAGAAUGGUCUAAAAGGGCCUAAAGUCUCUGCUGUAAUACCCGAAGCCGGUCGAUCUAUUCCUGGCCAAGAUGAAGUCGUUCGAAAGGAUGAUGGAAGUCUGCAGUAGUGCUGACGUGCAAUUCGCUUACAUGAGCUGGGAAUAGGAGCAAAAGGCUAAUCUAGAUCGGUGAUAGCUGGUUCUCCCCGAAGUUGGUGUCAGCCAAGUCUCAAACGAGGUAGCCAGUGGUGUAGAGCACUAAUUGUGGAGUAUGGAGAAGAAAUUCUUCGCUUCGCUCUUAAACUCCGAAGCCGCUGGCGCCGUAGACUUUGGGAAACGGGUUAGUGGGCGUAAAGUCCAUUGCCGAGAAGGGAACAACCUAGACUUGGGUUAAGGUCCCAAAGUGCAGGUUAAGUGUUAAAAUAAAGGGCGUUAUAUUUCUAAAACAGCAAAAGGAUAGGUAUAGAAGUAGCCACUCCCUAACGAGUGUGUAACAACUCAUUUGCCGAGAAAUAUAGCCCCGAAAAUGGACGGGGCUCAAAUCUGCCACCGAGACCCAAGGGCACGGGUGGAAAAAUCCCGUGAUCCGGUAGGGGAGCGUCCGGGUAGGGUAGAAGCAGGUGCGUGAGUUCCUGUGGACCUGCUCGGAGCGCAGAUCCUGGUGAUAGUAAAAGCAUAGAUGGGUUAGAAUCCCAUCCGCCGAAAGGGCAAGGGUUUCUUCGCAAUGCGUCGUCAGCGAAGAGUUAGUCGGUCCUAAGUGUACCCUUAACUGGUAUACGCGAAAGGGAAACAGGUUUAUAUUCCUGUACCUCGGUACUACACUAGCGGUGACGCAAGGCGUUUUGCUAACGGUUCCGGGUAGGUGGAAUAGGGCUGUCGAAUAUUUCCCUAUUUAAAUGUAUAUGACUGGUGAAUAGCGUAACGCUUAGACCCAGUUGAAACCAUGAAUAGCCAUCCAACUGUGGAAGGUUCCGCCGAUCCCAGGACCCAUUGAAAAGGCAAACGCAAGAAAUACCGAGACCGUACCCAGAACUGACACAGGUGCCCCUAGGUGAGUAGCCUAAGGCGUAUUCGUGUAAAGGAGGUUAGGGAAAUCGACAAAUUAGAGCCGUAACCUUGGGAUAAGGCUUGCUUGCGGUUUUCUUCACGCCACUACGGUAGUGUGAGGGGAACCUCAAGUUGCAAUAACUAAGGGGGGACGACUGUUUAAUAAAAACAUAGGUCUCUGAUAGAGCGAAAGCUUGUUUACAGAGGCUGAAACCUGGCCAGUGGCAGUCUGAUAAAUCGCGGUUACAACCGCAGUAAGUCCUGCUAAACGCCGGGAGUAACUAUAACUCUCUUAACGAACAGCCAUCUCGACUCUCGAGAGAAAGGUAGCCAAAUGCCUUGUCUGGUAAGUUCAGACGUGCAUGAAUGGUCCAACGUUCUCCCCAUUGUCCCAACCUUCUGACGAUUGAAAUCACACACCGGCGAACGGUCCGGUGAAACCCAGUGGGACGAGAAGACCCCGUGGAGUUUUACUGCAGCUUGUUGUUGCGAUUUUGAACUGGAUACAGAGUGUAGUCGGGAGCGUAGAUGCCGUAAUUUCGGUUACGGCGGAGCAACUUUGGAAUACCGGCUUUCCUUUUUGAGACCGCUAACGACGCUUAUACGCGUCGGACAUCCGCAGGUGGGCAGUUUGGCUGGGGCGGCUCACUCUAGAAAAAAUAUCUAGAGUAACCAAUGGUCAGCUCAGGCGGGUCAGGAAUCCGCUGUAGAGUUUAAGAGCAAAAGCUGGCCUGACUGGAUUCUGAUCACCAAGGAAUCCUGAGGCUAACGCCUGGUCUAGCGAUCCUUUACAUUGCUCAUGUGGCUUGUAGAGGUGAUAGAAAAAUUACCCCGGGGGUAACAGAGUUGUCACGAGUAAGAGCUCAGAUCGACCUCGUGGCUUGCUUCCUCGAUGUCGGCUCUUCCUAUCCUGGGAGCGCACAUUCUCAUGCAUGGUUAAUGCGUGGAGGUGUAUAACUUCCAAGGGUGGGGCUGUACGCCCAUUAAAAGGGAACGUGAGCUGGGUUUAGACCGUCGUGAGACAGGUCGGAUUCUAUCUACUGGGUUUGUUGGAGGACUGAGGGUAAGGGAAAAUCAGUACGAGAGGAACAUUUUGCCGGCGCCUCUAGUGUACCGGUUGUCUGACAAGGCAACGCCGGGCAGCCACGCGCUAACAGAUAAGUGCUGAAAGCAUCUAAGCACGAAGCUGGCCCCGAAAAGAGUCUUCCAUUCCAUUUCU
rnacentral:rRNA from 1 species